rnacentral:rRNA from 1 species
GAUGAACGCUGGCGGCGUGCCUAAUACAUGCAAGUCGAGCGAAUGGAUUGAGAGCUUGCUCUUAUGAAGUUAGCGGCGGACGGGUGAGUAACACGUGGGUAACCUGCCCAUAAGACUGGGAUAACUCCGGGAAACCGGGGCUAAUACCGGAUAACAUUUUGAACCGCAUGGUUCGAAAUUGAAAGGCGGCUUCGGCUGUCACUUAUGGGUGGACCCGCGUCGCAUUGGCUAGUUGGUGAGGUAACGGCUCACCAAGGCAACGAUGCGUAGCCGACCUGAGAGGGUGAUCGGCCACACUGGGACUGAGACACGGCCCAGACUCCUACGGGAGGCAGCAGUAGGGAAUCUUCCGCAAUGGACGAAAGUCUGACGGGGCAACGCCGCGUGAGUGAUGAAGGCUUUCGGGUCGUAAAACUCUGUUGUUAGGGAAGAACAAGUGCUAGUUGAAUAAGCUGGCACCUUGACGGUACCUAACCAGAAAGCCACGGCUAACUACGUGCCAGCAGCCGCCGUAA